AUUGAACGCUGGCGGCAUGCUUUACACAUGCAAGUCGAACGGUAACAGGUUAAGCUGACGAGUGGCGAACGGGUGAGUAAUGCAUCGGAACGUGCCCGAUCGUGGGGGAUAACGCAGCGAAAGCUGCGCUAAUACCGCAUACGAUCUGAGGAUGAAAGCGGGGGACCGUAAGGCCUCGCGCGAUCGGAGCGGCCGAUGUCAGAUUAGGUAGUUGGUGGGGUAAAGGCCCACCAAGCCGACGAUCCGUAGCUGGUCUGAGAGGACGACCAGCCACGCUGGGACUGAGACACGGCCCAGACUCCUACGGGAGGCAGCAGUGGGGAAUUUUGGACAAUGGGCGAAAGCCUGAUCCAGCAAUGCCGCGUGCAGGAAGAAGGCCUUCGGGUUGUAAACUGCUUUUGUACGGAGCGAAAAGGUCCUUUCUAAUACAAGGGGCUCAUGACGGUACCGUAAGAAUAAGCACCGGCUAACUACGUGCCAGCCGCCGCCGUAA
rnacentral:rRNA from 1 species